rnacentral:rRNA from 1 species
AGAGUUCGAUCCUGGCUCAGAAUGAACGCUGGCGGCGUGCUUUACACAUGCAAGUCGAGCGGAGUCAGUUCCAAGGGGCAACCCGAGGAACUGGUUCAGCGGCAAACGGGUGAGUAAUGGACAGGUAACGUACCCCCUAGACGUGGAUAGCUCAUCGAAAGAUGAGAUAAUACGCGAUAAUGUUGCAGGGCGAUGGCUCUGCAAAGAAAGCGGGCGCAAGCUCGCGCUUCCGGAUCGGCCUGUCUCCUAUCAGCUAGUUGGUGGGGUAAUAGCCUACCAAGGCGAUGACGGGUAGCUGGUCUAAGAGGAUGGUCAGCCACAUUGGAACUGCGAUACGGUCCAGACUCCUACGGGAGGCAGCAGUGGGGAAUCAUGGUCAAUGGGCGAAAGCCUGAACCUGCGACGCCGCGUGAGUGAUGAAGGUCGUAAGAUCGUAAAACUCUUUUCAGGGACAUUAAAGCUCCGGCUCUAACAGAGCCUGGAGUAUGACUAUCCCUGGAAUAAGCCCCAGCCAACUACGUGCCAGCAGCUGCGGUAAUACGUAGGGGGCGAGCGUUAUUCGGAAUUACUGGGUGUAAAGGGUAUGUAGGCGGCCUCACAAGUCGCGUGUAAAAGUCCAGCGCUCAACGCUGGGUUGGCACGUGAUACUGUCAGGCUUGAGGGCUGGAGAGGUGAGCGGAAUUCCCGGUGUAGUGGUAAAAUACGUAGAUAUCGGGAGGAACACCAGCGGCGUAGGCGGCUCACUAGACAGUUUCUGACGCUAAGAUACGAAAGCGUGGGGAGCAAACAGGAUUAGAUACCCUGGUAGUCCACGCCCUAAACGAUGGAUACUUGGUGUUGGGGGGUUGCCCUCAGUGCCGGAGCUAACGCGUUAAGUAUCCCACCUGGGGACUACGGCCGCAAGGCUAAAACUCAAAGGAAUUGACGGGGGCCCGCACAAGCAGCGAGGUAUGUGGUUUAAUUCGACGCUACGCGAAGAACCUUACCUGGGCUUGACAUGCUUGAGAAAGGACCAAGAAACUGGUCCCCCCAUGACCGCAAGGUCAUGGCUCAUCCACAGGUGCUGCAUGGUUGUCGUCAGCUCGUGUCGUGAGAUGUAAGGUUAAGUCCUUGAACGAGCGCAACCCCUGUCGCUAGUUGCUAACCCGCAAGGGUGCACCCUAGCGAUACUGCCAGCUAAAAGUUGGAGGAAGGAGGGGAUGACGUCAAAUCCUCA